rnacentral:rRNA from 1 species
UACGUAGGGUGCGAGCGUUAAUCGGAAUUACUGGGCGUAAAGCGUGCGCAGGCGGUCUGUUAAGACCGAUGUGAAAUCCCCGGGCUUAACCUGGGAACUGCAUUGGUGACUGGCAGGCUUUGAGUGUGGCAGAGGGAGGUAGAAUUCCACGUGUAGCAGUGAAAUGCGUAGAGAUGUGGAGGAAUACCGAUGGCGAAGGCAGCCCCCUGGGUUAACACUGACGCUCAGGCACGAAAGCGUGGGGAGCAAACAGG